UACGUAGGGCGCAAGCGUUAUCCGGAAUUAUUGGGCGUAAAGAGCUCGUAGGCGGUUUGUCGCGUCUGCUGUGAAAGACCGGGGCUCAACUCCGGUUCUGCAGUGGGUACGGGCAGACUAGAGUGAUGUAGGGGAGACUGGAAUUCCUGGUGUAGCGGUGAAAUGCGCAGAUAUCAGGAGGAACACCGAUGGCGGAGGCAGGUCUCUGGGCAUUAACUGACGCUGAGGAGCGAAAGCAUGGGGAGCGAACAGG
rnacentral:rRNA from 1 species